CCUACGGGGGCAGCAGUGGGGAAUAUUGGACAAUGGGCGAAAGCCUGAUCCAGCCAUGCCGCGUGUGUGAAGAAGGCCUUCGGGUGGUAAAACACUUUCAGGGGGGAAGAAAGCCUUGGGGCUAAUACCCUCGAGGAAGGACAUCACCCACAGAAGAAGCACCGGCUAACUCCGUGCCAGCAGCCGCGGUAAUACGGAGGGUGCGAGCGUUAAUCGGAAUUACUGGGCGUAAAGCGCGCGUAGGCGGUCUGAUAAGCCGGUUGUGAAAGCCCCGGGCUCAACCUGGGAACGGCAUCCGGAACUGUCAGGCUAGAGUGAAGGGGAGGAAGGUAGAAUUCCCGGUGUAGCGGUGAAAUGCGUAGAGAUCGGGAGGAAUACCAGUGGCGAAGGCGGCCUUCUGGACUGACACUGACGCUGAGGUGCGAAAGCGUGGGUAGCAAACAGGAUUAGAUACCCUGGUAGUC
rnacentral:rRNA from 1 species